rnacentral:rRNA from 2 species
AAAUUGAAGAGUUUGAUCAUGGCUCAGAUUGAACGCUGGCGGCAGGCCUAACACAUGCAAGUCGAACGGUAACAGGAAGCAGCUUGCUGCUUUGCUGACGAGUGGCGGACGGGUGAGUAAUGUCUGGGAAACUGCCUGAUGGAGGGGGAUAACUACUGGAAACGGUGGCUAAUACCGCAUAACGUCGCAAGACCAAAGAGGGGGGACCUUCGGGCCUCUUGCCAUCAGAUGUGCCCAGAUGGGAUUAGCU